CUCCGAGCCAGGUGCGGGAUGUAAUCUCGUGGUGCGCCGUUUUUUAAGCCCGUCGGAAAAGCGCAGUAUUCGGGUGGGAGUGACCCGAUUUUCCAGGUGCCGUCUGUCACCCCUUUCUUUGACUUGGAAAGGGAACUCCCUGACCCCUCGCGCUUCCCAGGUGAGGCAAUGCCUCGCCCUGCUUCGGCUCGUCCACGAUGCGCGCACCCACUGGCCUGCGCCCACUGUCUGGCACUCCCUAGUGAGAGAAACCCGGUACCUCAGAUGGAAAUGCAGAAAUCACCCGUCUUCUGCGUCGCUCACGCUGGGAGCUGUAGACCGGAGCUGUUCCUAUUCGGCCAUCUUGGCUCUCCCUUAGUCUAGAUUGCAGCUAAUCUUCCCCUUACAUGACACCUACAAGUUAAACAAACUGCAACUAGGAAGAUCGUGAUCAUUUGACUAGGACCUGGAUUGUUUGAGAGAGGCAGUCUAAAAGUAAGUUUUUACUAAUUAUUUUUGAACCUUGUAAUGGCAUUUUAAGCAACUGCUUUCACCUACAAUAAUAGUUACUUAUUUUACUUUUCCUGAAUAAGCCAGGCUCUUUCCUAAGUUUAUUAAAUGUAUUGUCUACUCUACCCCUUAUACCACAGACUCACAAUGUAGAUACUAUCAUGAUUAUAAUAAUCAUACUAUUAAUAAAAAUUAAUAUUACUUUAUUUGUAUUAUGGCUACUAUUGUUCUAUUGACAAAAAGAGAAGAGAGGUUAAGUAACGCGCAUAGAGAGAUAAGUACCAGGUCCCCAAAUAAACCUCAACCAUGUGGUUAAAGCCUAUUAAUAGCCUGACCACAAGCCCUCUGAGGUGGGAGCCUGGACACUUAAUAUCCUAUUAAUCCCUACUGUGCUGUGGGCUAGAGCCUAUGUGUCCCUUCAAGGAGCACAGGGAUGUUAAGUGUGGGUCUGUAGCUCUGGGGAGCUGUUUUCCUUUUAGGAAUACUCCUUGCUAGUUUUCAAAUAAUUCUUUAGCACUGAAGUUGGGACCCCUGAGACAUUUUUUUAUGUUCUAAAGACCACUCUGUUAGUUAAGUAAACCUGACUACAACCUUGAACAAAUUUAUAAUCUAUUGAAAUGUUACAGUAAAAGAAAUGCGAAGGUAAAGCAAAAAUUCUAAUUAUUUCAAAGGUAAUUGCAAACUAUCUAGCUGCCCUGAGAGUCUCCCCAAAGUCCCGGCAUUGCUUGGCACUACCACACCCUGUUUUCUGGAGGAUUUUUAGUUCAAACACGUACCUAAAUUUGACCAGAUAUCUAAAUUCCCAUUUGGAGACACAUCAUGGCAUGUAGGAUACUUUCCUACUUUUUCGCUAAAAAAGGUUUUCGAUCGAAAGUUGAAUGCUGUGGAUGUUGAAGUCCCAUGCGUCUGAGGUCCCAAGUCUCAGAAGCCUUUCCUCAUGCUGUUUCCAUACGUGUUUUCAGUUCUUGGAAUGAAAUUCUCAGAUUAGAACGCAUCAGACCUCUCUUAGUUCUCAUGGAGUAUGUAGAGGCCAUGAUGAACUGAAGAUUUCUCUCUGGUGUGGAUAUGUUUUCUCUUUUACCUCUGAACUUCUACAUCAAGACUUCGUGUGAAUGAGCUCUGCUUUUGAGGAUUCAUGACUCUUUUCCUCCAUGAUUUGAAAAUGUAUAUUCAAAAGAUUAAAAGAUGGAGCUGGCCGAGUGAGGUGGCUCAUGCCUGUAAUCCCAGCACUGUGGGAGGCCGAAGCAGGUGGAUCACUUGAGGUCAGCAGUUCAAGACCACCCUGGCCAACAUGGUGAAACCCUGCCUCUACUAAAAAUACAGAAAUUAGCCAAGUGCAAUGGCAGGCACCUGUAAUCCCAGCUACUCGGGAAGCUGAGGAUGGAGAAUCACUUGAACCCUGGAGGCAGAGGUUGCAGUGAACUGAGAUCACACCACAGCACUCCAGUCUGGGUGACUCAGUCUUGAAAAAUGAAAUGAAAUAAAAUAAAAUAAAAGAUAGAGCUGGAGUUUUGCUGGUUACUAUUAUUUAAUCAGAGGACAUAUCACCCUCCUCACAAAGGUGAGAAUCACACAGUCCCAGGAGGUUGUUUGGGCACCAGCUACAGGCCCACAGUCACCGUCAGCAAAAUCAAAUGUGUGUGUUACACACAGACGUCUCAUCUCCAUGGGCUUAUAGACACCAGGCUAGGCAACUAAAAGGGAAAAGUAUUUUUUAUUUUUAUUUUGUUUCUUCCAAGUUAAAGCAUGCUUUUCCUGUUUAUAAAACUUCUGUUUUUGGAAACACUUCUCACUGUACUUUACCAUGAGCAAGGUAAGAUAAGUUUUAUAAGUAGGAAAGCAUGCUUUUAUUUUUGUUUUUAUUUUAUACAAGUAAAGAAGAAAAUAAAAGCAAAACAAAAAUUUAUCUCUCUCAAGUGUCUACUCUCAAUGUUUUGUGCUUGCCACACCCCAUAGUCUAUACACAUACAUACUUACAAAGAGGAUUGUUCACCUGUGGGCUUGUUUAACAUACAUUUAUUUUAUAAUGUAUCAUAUAUAUCUUUUCAUAAUUUUUAAAAAAUUAUCUCUUCACUAUAAUGACUACAUAUGUUUGCAUUCUGGGGUGUUAAUUUAAUUUAAUUAGCAAAUCAUUUAUCAAUGCAUAUUUACUGUGACUAUGAUUGUUUAUAUUUUAACUAAUGUUGUGAUGACAUUCUUGUGUAUAUUUUGUUGCAAUACAUUUCCCAAAGGACAAUUUUUCAGCCUUAGGUUUUUCACAUUUCAUAUCUCUGAGACUGUGCUCCAUAAAGCUAUAUGGAUUUGGAUCCCCGUUAGAGACGUGUCUACACUCAUUUCUGAUAAAUGCACACAGGUAUCUCCAGGACUUAUGCCCUGCCCAGAAUACACUGGUUUUCUAUAAAUACUGUUGAAUGAAUAAAUGUAUCUUUAACAUUACCAUGGUGUUUUUUAACCUCUGUCAACAUGAGAAGCAAAACCUACCUCCUUGUUUUAAUUUACAUUUGUUUAAUUGCCUGUGAGGCCCAACAUCUUUUCAUAAAUGCCUGGCUAAUUUGUGUAUUUAUUUUUCCUCUUGUGAACUGCCUACUCAUUUUCUUUUGAUGUUAUUGAUGUGUAGGAUUCUCCUUGUUGACUUGUAAGAAUAAUUUAGAAACUAGUGAGUAAAUCUUUGUUUUGUGUGUCAAUUUUUUUUCAAUUAUUUGCUUGUCUUUUAUUGUUUGGUUGCUUUUACCUUAGGUAAAAAGGUAAGUGUUAUGUCUUUCUCCAGGUUUAAUUUAUUUAUUUUUUUGGAGGAGGGAUAUUCUGGGUCUUUACUACAUAACCCACCUCUACUCCAAAAGCAUAAUUUUUCACUAUUUUUAUAAACAUUAAUAUAUGUCCCAAACAUAAUUUUUGUCCUCAUUUUUUUAGAACACAGAACAACACACAGUUUUAGAACAUAAAGCAUAAAAUUUUUGAGUGUAUUAGUCUGUUCUCAUGCUGCUUAUAAAGACAUACCCAAGACUGGGUAAUUUAUAAAGAAAAGAGGUUUAAUGGACUCACAGUUCCACAUGGCUGGGGGAGCCUCACAAUCAUGGCAGAAGACGAAUGCGGAGCAGAGUCACAUCUUACAUGGCUGCAGGCAAUAGAGAUUGUGUAGGGGAACUGCCCUUUAUAAAACCAUCAGAUCUCGUGAGACUUAUUCACUAUCAAGAGAACAGCAGGGAAAAGACCUGCCCCAUGAUUCAAUUACCUCCCACUGGGUCCCUCCCACAACAUGUGGGGAUUAUGGGAGCUACAAUUCAAGAUGAAGUUUUGGGGGGGACACAGCCAGACCACAUCAAAGGGUCUUCAUUUGAAUUGUUUUCCACAUGAGGAUGAGAAGAUUUCUAUUUUUUUAAUUUAAAUACUAGUCAGCUGAGUAUUUUUUACUCAGUAUCAUUUACUGAAAACCUAACUUUUCCCCAGAGUUGAAAGGACAUCUCUGUUAAAUAUGAGAUUUGCAUAUAAAACUGGAUAAAGCUUAAACUCUGAAUUCUCUUCUUCUUAUCCCCCCAUCUAUUGCUAGGCCUGUAACAUACCCUACCAUUUGAAUUAUUUACCUUUCAAGUGCAUUUUAUGUUUUCUUAAUUUAUAUGGUCCUCUUUAUGCUUCCUUGCAUAAUUCCCACUCCCAUUUUUGUAUAUUUAUUUUCUGGAUAAGCUUUAGAAUAAUUGCUGUUGUGUUUUAAAAUAUUGGUGGAACUUUAUUAAGAUGCUAUUGAAUAUAUGAAUUAAAUUGGGAAGACUUGUCAUCUUAAUGAAAUAGAAUCUUCCCAUCUAAGAAGCAGGUAUGAUUUUCAAUAUUUCAUCAUAUGUUUAUACAUACAACAUGGCUUUUAAAUUUCAUUUCAGGAAAGUAUAGAAAUAUGGGCUGACUUGCUAUCAUUUUUUUUUUUUUUGAGAUGGAGUUUCAUUCUUGUUGCCCAAGCUGGAGUGUAAUGGCGUGAUCUUGGCUCACUGCAACCUCGGCCUCCCAGGUUCAAGCAAUUCUCCUGCUUCAGCCUUCUGAGUAGCUAGGAUUACAGGCAUGCGCCACCACAGAUGACUAAUUUUGUAUUUUUAGUAGAGACAGGGUUUCUCCAUGUUGGUCAGGCUGGUCUCGAACUCCCAACCUCAGGUGAUCCACCCGCCUUGGCCUCCCAAAAUGCUGGGAUUAUAGCCAUGAGCCACCGCGCCCGGCCCAAGAGUUGCUAUCUUAAUGAAAUAUAACCUUCCCAUCUAAGAAGCAGAGUUUUGCUCGGUCACUCACGGCAACCUCCGCCUCCUGGGUUCAAGCAGUUCUCCUGCCUCAGUCUCCCGAGUAGCUGGGACUCUACAGGCAUCCCCCAUCAGGGCUUGAAAACAGAAAUCCUGCCAAGUCCCACGUUUUCUUCGGUUCCAAGCACAGAGAGACAUUUGUCUAUUGCAGAAACAGAAGCGAUGCUUAUCCUGCGAGGUGUAUGUGUUAAUGUUGCCACUUUUAGUAAAAUCCAAAUCAUCUAUGCUUCAAGAAGAAUUUGGAAAGCAGAGAG
rnacentral:lncRNA from 1 species